AGUAACACGUGGGUAAUCUGCCCUGCACUCUGGGAUAAGCCUGGGAAACUAGGUCUAAUACCGGAUAUGACAUGUCACCGCAUGGCGGUGUGUGGAAAGUUCUGGCGGUGCAGGAUGAACCCGCGGCCUAUCAGCUUGUUGGUGGGGUAGUGGCCUACCAAGGCGACGACGGGUAGCCGGCCUGAGAGGGCGACCGGCCACACUGGGACUGAGACACGGGCCAG
rnacentral:rRNA from 1 species